UCUAACAUGGGUUGGAAAGGUGGUGGUGGCAUAUCCUUACCCUCAAAUGGUAUUUCAAUGAGUAUGAUACCAUCUCAGGGUCGUCGCUGAUGAAUGUUCUCGUCUUCUCAUCAAUGGGUUGGUCAUCAAUGUCCGGAGCGGAAACAUCCACGAAUGUGCCACCAACAAAAGUCUGAGCCUCCAGUGCAUUGAAUGGCGUACCUUCACCACUGUUGUAGCAUGGUGAUGUACAUGCUGGCUACAAUCAUACGUCACCUGGGGAUGCUGAACAGGAGGAGGAGGUGAUGAUUAAAGUGAGGAGAAGGAGAGGGAUGGUCCAUGUAAUGAGUAGGACAAGAGGGAUGGUCUAUGUAAGAAGGAAGAGGGAAAUUAUUGACAUGAGUACGUGGCAGGGCAUCCUCGAAGUGAUGAGGAAGAGAGUCAUGAUUUUUAGGCGAAAAGAAGUAUAGCCUGACGGUAGAACAUUAGGCGAGGAGACGUACGUGCAACUAGCAAGGCGGCGAUCACAACAAGCAAGGCGAUCUGAAGCACUACCAGAUAAAAUUGGUUGGUGUGAAUGUUAAAAAAAGGACAAAAGGACAUUAGCGACAUCGAUGCAGCUUCGCAGAAGAAUUUAUGAGGCGUGAAAUGUCCUGCCACAUCACUCCUCGCCUAUAAAUAGAGGCAUUUACUUUAGAGUCAAGUGUGCAAAAAUUCGAUCCCAGAGAGCAAGCUCAUUCUUCCGUUCAUCCAUUCUUUAUUAAAGUUUUAGGUGAGAGUCUAGAACAAGAGAGAGAGAAACUUCCCCUAUCAUUUCCUCUCAUCACAACAAGUAAAAAUCAUAGCCAAGGAAUACAAGAAAUCAUAUUCUGAGGCUCGAUUCAUUUCUAUGUAUCCCAUUUUGUUGUAUUUCUUAUG